GGGGAUGACAGGCUUCGACGGGAGAGGCUGGUCCCGGAAUGCGAGCCGAGCGGCGCCGAACUCGUAAACUCAGCGCAAAACCUUAAGUGCCAACCGCACUUCCUACGCUGCUAUGCCUCUCGCUGCAUAAGCGAUGACAUAACAGUCAACCUCCUUGAUGAGGUUGCGUCCGCCGUGCGCCGUCCUCCACCCGGCGACGGACCGGGCGACACAAUGGUGUGAGCGCUGCGCAUGAUUCUGCUAAAUGCGCCUAAGACCAGCAGAUGGUCACAGGGUUACCUGCCCGCCGAGAUCCCUGUGAUGAAACACUUCGGCAGGCUACGCUCGUAGAUUUCCGAGGGUCGAGUCUUUCGGACCCGGGUUCAAUUCCCGGCAUCUCCACCA
rnacentral:tmRNA from 1 species